GAUGAAGAACGUAGCGAAAUGCGAUACUUGGUGUGAAUUGCAGAAUCCCGUGAACCAUCGAGUCUUUGAACGCUAGUUGCGUCCGAAGCCACUAGGCCGAGGGCACGCCUGCCUGGGCGUCACACGUCGUUGCCCCCCCCCCAUCUACUCCUUCGGGAUUGCGGGGGGCGGAUGAUGGCCUCCCGUGCGCCUAGCCGCGCGGUUGGCAUAAAUACCAAGUCCUCGGCGACGCACGCCACGACAAUCGGUGGUUGCGAAACCUCGGUUGCCCGUCGUGUGCGUUCGUCACGCAUCGAGGGCUCGAAAAAAUGCUCGGCUCCGGCUCGGCUUUCAACGCGACCCCAGGUCAGGCGGGGUUACCCGCUGAAUUUAAGCAUAUCAAUAAGCGGAGGA
rnacentral:misc_RNA from 1 species